UUUUUUUUUUUUUUUUUUUUUUGGGUUUGGGAUUAUUUAUACGACCCAUGAAUUUCUUUUAGGCUUUGAGUUCGAGCAAGUUAACUUUACAGAAAUCCAGCUUGAAUUUCAACAAAACUUGGAGCCAUGCAUGAACGUGACUAUAGAUGCCCGAAGUCAUGGUUUCAAGCGAUCAAAAGUGUUCCAAUCUGAUGGUUGUAAUCUAAAACGAGUCCUGUCAACAAUCCAGCUUCAACCAAUAAAUUAUCAGUAGUGGCAUCUUCUUCAAGUAGUACAUGUGAAAGAAUUUAAACCAGUGGGGAAACACACAAAUAUCAUCUACUGUUCACCAUUUAUUUUAUUAGUCAAGCAUGCGUUUUAACUAUCCACCAAAACGAAUUUCAGAUGUAGAAAGAGGACACCUUCUUGUUUAUGUGACAGAUGAAGAAGCAUUAAUAUCUCACCCUUGCAUCUCAAUCGUCCAGUGUCAUCUGAACUUCAAAAAUUAGUAGGAGGAAAGAAAUUUUAGAUCAAUAUCACGGUUCCCAAGAUUCAUAGGAUUUUUUUUUUUGGGGGGGGGGGGGGGCAGUCUUCUUGGGUUUUCUGCCACUCAUUUGACUAUUCUUUUCCCGCCUUGUAUUUGUGUGGAGGAGCAUCUGUAUCAAACUACACCCAUGUACACAAAAUUAUAAUAGUAUCUGGCAAAAAAGGAAAUGCUAAAGGAGAAACAGACGAAGGGCAUUGAAUGCUGAAGUGUAAUGAAUGGUGAGUCGAGGGGUAAAGAAUAGGUGGUCCUAACUCCUACGCUUCGUGAUGGCUAAUGAGUUCGAAUCAAGUUUCAACUACUUCUACUACAUUAUCACACUCUUUUUUUUUUUAAUCUAACAUCAACGCUCUACUCUACUCUUAUGUUAUGUUAUGGGGAAGGGAGAGCUCUAUUGAGCUUGUAUGGUGGGGGGUUGAAGGUGAAUUUUUACAUUAGAUAAUAAGUGUAUUACUGCACCCUUUAAUACACCAAACGAGAUUUGAAGGCCCGACUUGAUGCACCAGACGGCAGGCAUUAUCACAGCACACCAUUUAGUCUUCUUACGAGGGUAAAGAUAUUAAGGCUGGUGAGUCUUUGCAGAUUGCCUCUUAGGGAUCGAGCGUCCCCUUUUAUUUGGCCAGAGAGAGAGAGAGAGAGGAAGAGACGAUGGAAGUUUUUGAUGAUUUCAGGGCAGUAGUACUGGCGAUGCUGAGGUGCUGUGAGAUGUCCCAAAUCUGUGAAAGUUGGCAGCUAUCUUGGAAGCAUGUCUGCUUCCAGGACAGAGAUUUUUGGGUAUCUUUUGACAGAAUAUAGGUCCAAUCUAUACGGGUGACCACUUUUUGAUGGGUCCAAGUCCAAUGCCCCUCCAAUUCUCAUCGCUUAUAGUAUAUGAUGCUUCAAGAAUUAAUCACCUUCACUAAUCUCAAUACAUGUCAUGAUGCAAAGCACAUCGGUUGGAGGGCUAAACUUUUGCUUUGUCCAACAAGUUAUUGUGGUUUCAAGUUAUGAAUUCCAGGUCCCCAUUUCCUUUAACUGCUAUUUGGGCCACAAGAGAAGGAGACCACGCCCAUAAAGCAUCCAUGAACGGAAGCAAAAAGAAUGAGUUCGCAUGAUAGAGACGACAAUGUAUGUCCUCCUCCUAAUCCUAUCAUCGUUUGAUUUAUGAAAUUUCAAUUCCUUACUCCUUCAGGGAACAGUUUCACCAAAUCUGUUUCCUUUAGGCUUUUGGACGGGGCACUAUCAAGUUAAAUCAGGAUUCAGGUAUCUCUGCGUGUGUGUGUAGUCCUGACUCCAAUUAUGAUUCAAGAUAAAUAAGCAAACGGAUGUAGUCCUGACUCCAAUUAUCCGCAUGCUGAACCUUAAAUUCGGCAUUCCCAAUUCUAAGGACAUAGGCAUGAAUCUGCAUUUUUUAUUCUUUAUUUUUAUUUUCGAGUUAAAAUCCAAUCUCAGUCCACGGGACCACGAGUUCCCCAGUUCAAGUUGAAUUCUCGCAAAACUACCAUGGCAUAUUCUUCAUUCCGCAGAAAAAUCUACGCGUCGCCAUAAUUAUAUCUCGUGACAUUUAAUUGCAAGCGAUGAUAUUGCCUGUUCAGUUAUUCUUCAACGGCUGUCCAUCUCCUCGGUAGUUUACAGGAACGAGAAACAAAAUAGAGAGCAAAUAUCAAUUGCUCUGUUGUUGUACAAAUUAUCGUACUUGGAAAAAGUUUAAAAAAAAUAGAGCAACAAUGAAAAGGAAAUUGGGGAAUGGCAAAACAGGUCGUCGCAUUCUAGGUUGGUGAUAGCAUUUUGCAGCAAAGAAAUUCAUGGAAUAUCAGAGAAACUGUGGAAGGACGCACUGCAGCGCAAAAUCACUAAAUGAAAUUACAACUUUAACAUUCUACAGUCUAGACAAACAACUUCAGACGGUGAACAUCAUAAAGCUUAGAGGUACCCCCUGGGUGCUGCGCUCAUAACUACAGAAAUUUGAUGACUGAUGAAGGAUCAUCGACUUUCUGGUGCAUUAAUUGAUAAAUGACAAAAUUAAACAACAGAAUUUACAAAACUAAGUUGGUCGGUCCUCCAUGUAACACAACGAUCAGCCGCCCCGCAUAUGUGCAUCCAAUUCCAAAAACUGCUCAUCAGCCUCCACAGUGUCCUCCGACAAGCGAACUGCAUCCAGCUUUUGCUUCAGAAUGUCGAUAGCAUUAAGAACCAGCUGAGAAGCUUUAAUUGCACCAGUGGACUCAACUGUGAAAAUGAAACUGUCUUCCUUGGGAUGUACCUCUACAAGCCCCGGCGCAUUCAAGGAUUCACAUUUCUUGAUCACCUCAUCAUCAUAGGUAUAUGCCUCUGGAUCAACCACAACAACCUACGGAAACAUGGAGGAGGGGUUAAGAUAAAAAAACAACUGUAAGAGAAACUUACAAUAGAUUAUAUCAAAGUACAAUCAUCCAAGCAUGUAUAAACAAACCAAAAUGCGCAUAGCCCUUUGCUACAAGACAUGGACUGAUAUUCCUUUCUUCGGGCCAGUCAGUUAAGUCAAUCUUAUGCAGGUGCUCGGAUGAAGUUUUAAACAACCAUUAUAGGGCUUUUAAACCACUUCAAUGCAAAUUUUUUCUCUGCACUGGCACUUAAUAAUAAUCAAACCAAACGUACAUGACCAAAGAAAACAGCUGUUAGAGAAACUUACAAUAGAUGCAUGUCAAAGUACAAUCAUACAAGCAUGUAUAAACAUUUGCUCAUGCAAACAAACCAAAAUGAGCAUAGCCUGUUGUGACAACAUGUGGACUGAUUUCAUUUCUUCAGUUCAGUCAAGAUUCUCAGAUGAAGUUUUAAGCAACCGCUAUAGGCUUUUAAACCACUUCAAUGCAAAAUUUUCCUCUGCACUAAAAUUUAAUGCAUUGCCACAAAAGAAAACAUACAAGAAUGUAAACCUACUAGUAGAAAACAUUCAAGAGAAAAUACUAGUAAGGACUUCUCCAACCUAAGAAUAAAAUCCUUUGUCUUUCUCUAUAGUAGAAAGAAACAUAUUCCAAUAAAGUAAACCCCAAACCUCGAAGUAUGUCAACCAAUUCCAUGCCAGGGGAAAAAAGGAGUUCCCCAAGAAAAUAUUAUAUAAAGAAACAACAGGAGAAUAGCUAUUAGAAAGCAAACAGAUUCCUAGAUUUUCAAAAACAAAAAUCUUGUGCCAAAGAGGAUGAUGAUCAGAUGGUUGCAGGAAUGGAAACUGAGAUGGAUAGCUUCUAGCAGUUGUCUAAGUUUGAAAGGUAUCAGGAGUUUCUAGUAGUUGUCUAGAUCUGAAAGGUAUUAAAAGCUAAAAAGACUCUGAAAAUGGAUCACAGGGAGAUUUAUAAAUAUUUCAUACAAUAGACGUAUAAUCCAGAAAUUCCCUUCUUCCAAAUUCCCCGAAUUCUAUGUCAGAGAACCAUGGAGAAGAAAGAAGGGGGUUUUGGAAGAGAGGGGGGGGGGAGAACAUAAGAGUCACCAUGGAAGACCACUUAUCAGACAUUAAGUAGAUAAUUUUGGAUCCCCGAACACAGUGAAAAUGAUUCAACUAAUACGCAUGUAGGAGGUAAAGCAAAGGGAACCUACCCGUCCAGUUUUGGCAUCAAUGUCAAAGACUUUGGUAGGACUGCUUUCAACCACACUCAUUCUCUGCUCAAGUGUUAAUUUCUCCAUCAUAUCUUCAUUGAUAUAAAUCUCAGGUUCAUACAUGAAUGUAACAGUUGCUGCAGGUGACCAUUUGGCAUGAUCCUUGCCAAUACCUUUCCGAGCUAUAGCUCUCAGCCUCAACUCUUGCCCCCGGCGUAGUUUCACUAUCAUAAUUCCCCUGUAAACAAUUUAUUCAGUAAAUAUUAUAACAGCUUCAACACUAGAGAUCAAACUAAAACUCUGAUUCCAGAUCCUUUUCAGCAAGAUUUCCCACAAUGUUAGACCCACCAUGCAAAUUACCACCACAAAAUGUGAUUUAAGAACAUAACGGAGAAGUUAAAGUAUGACAAUACCACAUAACCAGAUGUCAUCACAAAAAAAAAACAUAAACUAAAUAAAAUGAUAAAUAUCAAAGAAUCAACAGGGUUGCAAAUGUGUACCAGGAAGCAUUAGACCAACCAAAAUAUUCAAGUUCUAAAACAACCUUACAAAGCCACAUGCACAAAGCCAGGGCUGCAAACGUGUACAAGGAAGCGUUAGACCAACUGACAUAUCCAAUGCAGAAAGCCGCAUGCAUACAAAUACCAAGUGUGAUGCAUCUGUACCAAGAAGAACUGAAAUAACCCUUAGGGGUUCCAGUGUCCAUCAUGAACUGAAAAGGUACUGUGCAAAUGUAAAAAUCACACCUUAUGCACAAAUUGAAUUGAUUCACAUGAAGCAAAUGAUGCAAAUUAGGCCUCAAACUCGAAAAAACCCAUCUCUGAAAAGGUACUGUACAAAUGUAAAAUUAAACCUUUCCUCUCCUUCCUUCCAGAAAAAAGAAACCACUGCUAACAUCAUUCUCAUCUCAAGGGAAACAAUAUCUAUCAGGCCUACUGGUCCUGGAUCUCGUUCAAGAUUAAAAAUGCAUUCAUAUCCUCAUAAGGGAGUAUUCUGAAUGCAUUUCUUCAUACUUCCGCACUUGGCAACUCCAGCAACAAUCAUACACCAACAACAUCACACGUUGCAAAAUGAUACAUUUCAUUCAGAUUGAACUUGCGAUUCAAGGAAUACCAUUGCACGCAAUCUAUAAAAAUCAACUAUCAAAUUCAUAACACCCAUAUAUCACCACUAAUUCAAAUGCAUAAAUUUCGGACAACAUUAAAACCCAAACAAUCAAAAGAAAUCAAUAGCCACAAUAUAUACAGAAAAAAGCCCCUUCGUCUAACAUAAUCGACAAUUGUCCUAAAUUUGAAUUAUCCACAUUAACAUCUCCGUACAGAGUUGAAAAAGUAAAAUAUCCCAAAAAAUAAAUAACAAUAAUAAUAAGGGAUAUCGUUUGUAAUGUACGUGUUUGCUAGGGUUACUGGACCUGUUCUCGGCAUUAUCAUAUUCUGAGGAUGGACUGGCGAAAUCAACGGGGACAACAGAUGGAUCAGAGCUGAUGAGCUCCCUGCUGGUGACAUCUAGGGUUUGAUCAUUGAGGCAUUUGGCUCUCAGAUGAAACUCGACGGAGCAAUACUCGCACUGGCCGUCGCCAUCACAGGCAUCGCAGUCACGUGAGAAGCGCAUGCUCAUGGCUCGCUCGCUGGUGAGUGGAAUCAGACCGAGUCGGUGAGCUAUGAACUCGUCGUUCAAGACGGAAGAGUUCACCUCGAUCUCCACUAGGUCAAUGGCGAUAGUGGGAACCUCAGCUAUCAUUACGCGCCGCAGCGCGUUGGCUAUGCUGGCAUCAGUGUCGCGGAGCUCGAACUUGGCGUAGUCGUUCUUCAGCUCGCGAAUCUUCACUGUCGGAAACCUCUGGUACGAUCUGCCUUCCAUUCUCAAUUCCCCGAGGGAGAGUUUGGGGGGGGCGGGGGUUUUGGAAGAAGAAGGGCGCUUUACUGCAAAACCCUCUUGAGGACCGGAAGGACUGACUAGCGGAAAGCGGGGUGGGGCAACUAUUUAGUCGGGGCAAUUUUCACUACAUCUCCCUGGAAUUCAGUUGGAUUCCACUUUGGCCCCAAAGUUUUUCUUUCUUUGUCCCCCAAGACCUCUUUAAUUAAUUCUAUGGAUUUUCAUUUUUGACAUAAAUAAUGUACUAACAUCAUACUAUUAUACUUUUUAAAAAAAAAAAAAUUAAAUACUUUUUCAAAAAAAAUUUAAAAAGAAAAACAAAUACUAAACUGUACAUCUAAAAAAGCAAGCUUCAAUAAUGAAUUAAUCUGUCGUUUUCAAUUGGUAGUGUUUUCUCUUGUGGUUCAGUAAAUGAUUCAAGUUUAUUGAACUUGGGAGAGAAAAGAUUAUAAAAUGUAAAAUAGGAAUAAAAAAGCAAAAUUAAGGAAUUCGUCAACAUAUGAAGGGAGACUAGAUUAUGUACAAGGAAAUGACCGUGUGAAUUUCAAUGGACAAAAGUCAUCAUAAUCUUCCCCCCGCCCCCAAACACAAACCCACCACAAAUCCACCCUUCAAACUGUUAUUCUAGCUAAAUAGACCAAAAAUAUCGGCUGUAGAAUCAAAUAAGGCCAUAAUUAAAAGAUGAUCGAUUGCAAACAAUUUGCUACCGUUUUGUAUUGGUCAAUACUUAUCAUAGCGACAUUUUGGUAGAGAGCAGUUAGCUACAAGUUUUAAGGAUUGGCAAAAGCAACUCACGUAGAGGAAAACAUAAUAAUGAUUUGUUUGGAUAGGGUAUUAUUUGAAAUAAUUACUGUAGCACUUUUUGUGAUGUGAUAUAUGUAAGAUAAAAAGGUGGUUGGAAAUAUAAAAAAGUGGGUUGAAAAAUGUGUUUAUGAUGCAAGCGAAAUAUUAUUUGAGAUAAUAGUACGCUAUCCAAAAGAAGAUAUGGAGGCCCUGUAUUAUUGCACCAACAAAGCAGAAUUAAAAGAAAGAAAUGAAUAAGAAAAAGCGAGCAAGAGGAGCUCUGGUGUAUGCGUGAAUUAAUUAAGUGUUAACUAACAAUGGUGAAGUUUCCUUGGAAACACAAACAUGUUAAUUACCAAAAAAAACAAAAGGGCCCUGCCUCCCCAAGCUAUAUUAUCAGUGUGCGCAGACUGACGCGAAGAUAAUGCCCGAGGCCUGUGCUUGCCGAUCAUAGUUGCAAAUCAAACAAGUUAUAAGAGUCCACCAGCCAAGUGUAGGUUGCUUGAGAAGACCUCUAGAAGAUAGCCAUUGGAUCGCGACCAUAUUCCAUGACAAGACCUUGAGGGAUAACAUCUACUCUUGGCUCCCUGCAGCAAGAACGCCGAAUCAGAAACCGGAGAUAAUGGCACGUCGCAAGUAAAAAAGUAACAGAUAAUACCUCUAGCAUUCAAGUUAUUUUACAAAAUAUGGGAAAUAUGGAGAGAAAACACUUACAAAGGAAUUGUUUAUUUCACAAGAAUGCACCUUGCUGGUCCUGCCUCUGCCAGCACCCUUAACGGUAAACAGUAGACCGUGUAGCGUCCUGGUUCAACCUCGUCAAGUUUCAAGUUUUCGACUGGAAUAAUGCCCUAGUGAUUCAGCCACAUUAGUCACACUACUAACUAUAGAACAUGCUUGAGGAAUUCUCCCAUCCUCAAGAAAUUCACCAAGUAAAUGGCUCAACAGACUCAAUGUUGAGAACAGAAGCAUAGUGUGUGAUAUGACCUGUGGUUGAAAGUUUGCACAAGUUGGAGUAGGAAAUUGUGGAUUCAUAAAAUCUUUCAAGCAACUUAUUAAUGCAUUAGUACCAAUUAUGAAGCAAAAAGGGCAUCAGAAACCAGUACAGUCCAUCAUGGUCAUAGCAGUGAAGAUAUCCUUAUUCGAAUUGAGGUUUAUUUAUAAGAUGAAGAAUUUUCCUAGAAGUGAUUUCACUAUUUUUACUUAAUGCACUGCUCAUGACAUAAGAGGACAAAGUGGCAGGAGCUCUUUCUUUGGGGGAGGAGGUUUGCUUAAGCUUUGUACAAUGAACCGCCAGAAAAGUUCUUUCAUGCUUUAAAUACAUUGGCUCAAACCCUUUGAAGACAUCGAUGUAAAAAACAUGUUUUUUUUUUUGGCCAAUUUGGUAUUAAGUUCAUGAAUUUCAGCUCAGAAACCUUGUCUUCUUAGGGCGCCCAUUAAUUCAACAAUGUGCGCUAAAUGUUUUUGGGGAGAGCAAGGGAAUUUCACUCACUAAUAUGGACAUGGGGCAGAUGAAGUUGUAUCAGGUUGUUGUAUUCUUACAAUAUUUGGUGUACACAUAUAUAAACAAUUUUACUUUAAGUAACAAAAUUCAACACUUUGGCAGGGAAAAGAAAAGGAACAGAAAAAAAAUUCACAUGUAGAACAAUAAGGGUACCUCAAAACAUGUAACAAAUAUAAUAACUGUACACAACUUCAUCUAACAUAACCGUACCUGUCCCCAUUCUUAGUAAUGUGACCUUAGCAAAAAUAAGUUAUUUGCCAUGCUGAUAUCUUUUAGCUGACGGUUUCGUAGGGACUCAAAUCAAGACUGGAUGAAGAAUAGAAGAAACAUAACCUUACCCUGGAUGCUCCUAAGAAGAUUUUGUGAACACCGACAAUUUGAUCUUCUACAGCAACAGACAUGUAAUCAAUUCCUACAAUUGAUGAUGACAACAUAAUUUAGCAAAAUCACGAUACAGCAAAACUAGUAUAAGCUUUUCAAUCACAUAGAUAAACAAAAGAAAAGGAGCUUAUUAAAUGAUACACAACAAUCAUAAAGGAAAAGGAAAAUAGAAAUCACACAAAGAACAAAAGAAAAAAACAACCACAUGCAAAAUUUCAUCUCAAAUCUCUACUCUUUAAGGUAUGCUCAAUAUAAGGUGGAAUCUAGUCUUAUCAACAUUGAGGCCUAUAUUCACUUAUCUUUUUUGGUACAUAUAUUCAUUUUAUCUUUUGAGUUGGCUCUACAUUUAGGUCAUAUAUUCACUGGUAAAAUAUAGAAGAUUAUCAUAACAUAACAUAGAUUUAAAUCCCGUUGUCAUGUAAAAUAUUUACACCAUCAAAAAGUAAGAAAUCAAUUUGCAAUUACAGAAACCAUUCUAAAUUCCUCUAUGAGCAAUGUUUAAGUCAGGCAUACGCAUGGUAACUAAAUUCCGUUCUUUGACUCACCAACAAAUGUGACAUCAGUCUUGUGAACCAAUCUCUGUGCCCCACCUACCGUAAAUCCUGUAAAAUUUCCUUCAAACUUUUGUUGAUCCAUCAGCUUCCUAAAAAAUGCAAUCAGUUCAGAUAAACACUCAAUUAAUCAAAUGGCGGACCUUGUCUACUCCGAACGGUAUUUUGAUGUAGCAGUCACAAUUGAAGACACUCAAAGCACUACUUGUGAAACAUGAUAUAAAUGCUUGAAAAGAAUGAAAGUCUUUGAUCAUGUGAGUCCCACAAUAAUAAUACAGAUUGGCAUGAAGAAGCAAAUUUGACAUACAAAAUUACAUUUCUGAGAGGAUUUCUUACACCACAUAUCAACACAAAAGUGUCUUUUAACACAAGUAAUGAGGGGUACUGCAUGCAUAGAACAUUAUGUGACUUGAACAUCAUCUGAUAUAGUCUCCAUGAUGCAAAUGGAAAAUUGUGAAUUUCAUUAUGAUCAGAUUUACUAAGAGUAAGGUUCAGCAGAUCAAGUUCAAGCUCUUCAUCUAACUCUACCUGUAAGUGUUUUGUGUCUUAAAAAUUACACGCUUUACUCCUCUAGGAAUUUUCAAAGAGUCAAUGACAUGACCUGUAAGAAGCCAAUAAUCAUAAGAUAAGCCAUCAGUGGUGUCUAAAAACAUUAAACCAAACAAAUAGAAAACAUUUCAGGAAGCAAUAAAGCACCUUCUUUAAUGCACAUAAGACAUUGUUGUGUCAGACAUUAACAAGAAAUGUCAAGGAACCAACUAAGCCUUAUUGGAUCACUGGAAAUGCUUGGGAAUCAUAAUCAAGGCCAAUUGUAAAGCAAUACAUAGCAGAUAAAUUAUCUUCAAAAAAGCAGCCAAAGAUAGAAUUAAAACUUGAGCUAGCGACGGAUAUUUUGUACAUCCAACAAUUCCUUCACUACUAUUAUAAAACACCUAAUGAACAAUUAAAGUCGUGUGUAAGAUCAAGGCAUUUUUUUUUUCGAAAGUAUUAUCUACUUGUUGGGACAAACACUUUGGACGAAUAAAAAAGAAGCGAAUUGAAAAAUUGAGAGAAUGUAAAUGCAUUGCACAUGAAUGUCAUCAUCAACAGCAGAGAUGCCACAAACGAUUGGAAUUAGGUCCCAUAAUGGAAUGGUAUCAAGAAAGAAAAUUUUCUAAUCAUUUUAAUGAACUCUUUAUUCAAGAAAUUCCCUUUGGUCCCAAUCACACUUUCGCAAAACAUAAGCCUUCAACUAUGGCUGUUUGAAUUCAGAGACAAAAAGAUACUUCAUAAGCCUUCAAAUCUGGUAGCAGUUAAUACAACGCGAUCAUUAAUUCCCCAUCAUCUACGUAACAAGCAUAAAAUUGGCCAAUUCAAUAAAUAAAUAUUGCAUUUGUUGCAACCAUGUUGCUAAUAUACACAAAAACAUUUGAACUCUAGAAACUAAAUGAAGGAUUUCACCAAAGAGUUAAGCCUACUAAUAUGUGGCCAUUCUCCCAGAUGAUGAAAUUAGCAUUAAUUGUACACGCGUAAGAUAGGUAGGAAUGAGAAAGCAACCAUAAGUUCGGUACACGAUAUAAUGUUUUUAAAAAAGGACGCAAAAUUACUGGUGCGCAAAUAAAAAAAGGGAAGGAAAAAACUAAAAGAGUUGUUAUAACCAAAAAGAACACGUAGUACUUUAGAAAUGCAUACCAGUUAUAUUUACACCAUUUGGAGUCUGAACGACCAAAACAGGACCUGUAAAAGAAGUUUAGACAACUUGCUACCAGAAAUACUGCAAUUUACUACCAAAAAUUAGCAAAACAAAGGAACAGAAACUAUUAAGGUGAGCUGACAGAGAAGGUUGUUAUUGUACCCACAAGAGUUGAGAGGUUGAGGGAAUCGACGGUAACGUGGUGAAGUAACUGCUCCGGGAAAAUGUGUGAAGGGGAAUCAACAUGGGUGCCAUAAUGAGUGCCGAUAUUGAGAAUACCAUCCAUAUAAGGGCCACCAAAGAUUUCAGUUGUUAAAUUCCGAGCACCGGUCACAGAACCAAAGGUGGCCAUGCCAUUCCUCAUUGUUCGAGAAAUAUCAAUGAUGAUGCGGUCAUCAAAAUCUGCAGGGAUGGGGGCGGCGGCAGCUGCCACGGCGGGGAUGGUGAGGAAACCAUUACGUGCUGCAGCCACGAUGGCAAUUAUGUUGAUCCAACAUGAAAAUAUCAUUUUCAUGUUUUUUGGUUAUAUUAAACCUCUGCGGUGGCUUCUGAGGAGUGAUUCUCCUUAAGUUUUGUAAACCCAGAACCCUUUUGUUGUGGGGAGGGGAGGGGAGGAGAGAGGAGAGACUGGGAGAUGGUAGGAAAGAAGAUAGGGUUUUUAAAGCGAGGUAGCCUAAACAAAUAUCUCCGGUCAUGCCAGAUGUGUUGUUGGAAUGACGGAUGACCGAUGCGGAUGCCAUAAUGGUUUGGCGGAAGCAAACGCGGUUCCAGUGGAGACGGCGAAUCCAGAUGCAGACAACGGAGAGAGGUAAAGACGGAAGUACGGAUCCAAGGACUCAGGAAGACUAAAAUUUAGGUUCCAGAGCAAAUUUUAAUUAACAGACAAUUUUGCCCCUCUUUAGUUAACAACUGACCAUUCCUUGAUUAAAAGAAAUUUUAGGCUUCGUUUCGGAGUUGAGGAUUUGGACAGAAAAGAAAAGAAAAGAAGAGAAAGUUUAAGGUUGUGUUUGGAUUGCAUUUUUCGUGAUUUUUCAUGGAAAAAUUACUGUAGCAAUUUGAUGUAUGUGAGGGAAAAAGGUAAUAGGGAAAUGUGAUCACGGAAAACGACGUAAUUUUUCGACGGAAACCGGCAAUCCAAACAAGGCCAGUUUUUCUUUAUUUUGUGAGUUUUUAAUAGGGAUAAUUUCAGAUACCUCCCCUGAGGUUUCUGACAGUUUCACUCCCCUCCCCUGUGGUUUCAAUAAUACCACAAACCUCUCUUGUCAGAUUGUGAGGUCCCAUUUCUUACGUUAUUGGUGCCAAAAAGACUUAAAUACCCUCACAAGUUUGCUAAUAUUUCAUGAUUAUUUGGAAAAUUUUAGUUAAGUUAGUUAUAAACACAAUUAAUGUAAUUAACGAAAAAUUAGAGUCCUAACAACCAAUAUAGAAAGGGACCUUCAGCAAAAUAGCGCCAAACUUAGGCGCCAUGGUCUGAUUGACAUAACAGCUUGAUAGGCACGUACAUAUAGAAGCAAGAAACUUACUUUGUUCCCGCCAUUGUUGAGAUAUAGCAACUGAGGUUGAUGGUUGGCAAACAAAGCUCUUGAUUCUCGUUAAGAAAGCUCUUGGCAAACAAACUGAAGAGUCUCUUAGCUCAUUAAGAAAAAUUUACCAGGUAAGUGUUUAAGAUUUCGUAUUCCAUUUCAAUAUGAUAUUGGCAGCUUAUGAUGAUUUGGUUAUUGUUUGUGUAAGCUUCAUACAUGUUUGCUUAUGAUUUUCUGGUUUGUCAUGUGACUUGGUUUGCUAAGCCUUUACCAGAUUUUGCUUACUUGAUUCUAAAUUUCUCGUCUGACUUGGGUUGUUUGAUAUAGUUAGAUGCCAAACCUCAGAUAGCAGCUUUCCAGCAUGAUUAUAUAACUGAAGGUUUCAUUUACUGAACUUUCGGUAUCCACUAGACAUGCAUGAAUUGUCCAAAUGUGUCUGCUUACUCUUAGACAAAAUAUUCUUACUUCUGUGGGAAAAACACAGAGUCAGGUAAUUUUUUUAAAACUAAUUCCAUACAGGUUUAGCCUCAGUGCCCUCUGUAUGUAGGCUUUGCUAACACGAGCCCAGAUCACUCAGAUAGCUUGAUUUCAAAGUAGUGAUCCAAUAAACAUCUUCAAUCAUUGCAUAGCACUGCAUUUGUGAUCCUUUGGAUAAACACCUGAAGAACUACUCACAAGAGCAAGUGGUGUUUUCUGAAGUGAGUUUGCGCCACGCUUACAGUUCCUUCUCCUUGUGAUUAUUUCAUCAGAUGUUUGUUCUUUCCACAUGAUCCCUUUCUGCAUCUCACUGUCAGGUCCUGGACUGGAAUAUGUUUCUAAUGUUUUGCGGAUGAUCUAACUUCUUUGAUGGAAAAAGGGGCGUAGCAGCUUUCCAGCAUGGUCAUAAGCGAAUAUUUCGUUUACUGAACUUCUGGUGUCCACAGUUAUGCAUUGUCCAAAUGUCUCCACUUUUAAGGCUAGAAUUGCUGUCAACUGAUAUACCUUUCUUCUGUGGGAAAACAACUAAAAGUCAGGUAACAUCUUUAGUAUAAUUUCUCAACAUUGUAAUUUGAUUUCAGAAGCAUAAAAUGAAGUCAAUGGUACAUAACAUGAACUAAAGUAGUGGACUGGGUUUAUUUUCUCAGAUUUAAUUAUUUUUGUUAAGCAAGGGAUGGCCAAGACUGUCCUCUACGAAAUUUCUAGACCAAACAGAAACUAUACAUGAAUAUCUAAAGAUGAACACAUACAAUAUAUUCUAGGGUAAUGAGCAAGUGUAUUGGAGCCGCCUUUUUGUGAUGGUGUUCAUAACUUUUUAUUUACCCAACACUGUCUUACUAAAUGGUCAUUCUGCUCAAGUUUUCUAGUGUCUCAUUGUUUUGUGUUCAUUUUUUACUUGUAUACACUUAUAAUAUUUUAACGGAAGAGAGCUGGAAACAUCCAGAUUCCAUGUCCAAAUAAUGAAUAUGUUUGUUAAAGUAAACAAGAUUUUUCAAGCUUCCCUGUAACAGCAAGAUUUUUUUGUUCUUGGGAAUAAAAUCAAUGAAAACUAGUUGAGUAACCAAAUAGUUGAGCUCCUAAUGGUUACCUUGCGAUUACAUCGACAGUAUCUAUUUCUAAUUGUAAAUGAUGUAGGUGAAUUCCAGAAUUCACCUCUGCUGCUUGAACUGGCCAUUUGUGUGUGUGUUUGUUGCUGCUGCAGUUCAUCCAACACCAAGCACUUCACUUGCAUCUCAGAAAUUAACAUUUGUUUGUUGCUGUUUGUUGCAUCUCUUGCUGCUGCAUUUUACUCUCAUAAAUAGCCUUCUGGACUGGCCGUUGCAUAUGGACGUUAGAACUAACUGCCAGAAAGAGCCGUUGCCUUCCAUUUUGUUCACUACUGAUGUUCAGACCUUAAUGAAUGCAUUGGUCUCACUUACACCCCUCCCAAGUUUCAUUCUUCUUAAAUUCCCUGUUUUUUCUUCACAUGAGAUUAGCUCAUUAACGCAAGAUAAUGGGGGCAUUUGUGGUAUACACUUGUUUCUCUCUGCAACUACUGAUUUUUUAUUGUUUGUAUUUUUAAAUUGGGUCUAUUUUGGCAUUGCCUAUCUAGUUUUAAGGGAGGGUUGUGGUAUUAUUGAAACCAUAGGGAAGGGGAGUGAAACUGUCAGAAACCUCAGGGGAGGUAUCUGAAAUUAUCCCUUUUUAAUAAGAAAAAAAAUAAAGGAAAUGAGAGGAUUCAAAAGGAUGAAUAAUAGGCAAAAAUUUUCCUUCUAAAUUGGUUGAAAAUAGAGAGAAAGUUUGAGGAAGUUUGUGAAAUUUUUUUAAAAUACCUAUUUUAUUUUUUAAAAAAUCUUGAACAAAUAUUUAAUAACUUCCAUAUUUAAAAUUAUUCUAUUAAUUCUCAAAACUCUCGAACAACAUAACAAUUCUCUCACUUUCCUUCUCUUCUCUCAUAAUUAGGCCUGUCAACGAGUCGGGUUCGGGCCGAAAUUGAUAAAUCUAGACCCGAACCCGUCAUACUGUAUUAAUUCCGGACUCGCCCAAAUACCCGACGGGUCUCUUAAUCUUUCUCCCGGAAUCGCACCCGCUGGGUCCCGGGUCCGGGUCAGGCCUACCCGGAUAAGGCCCGUCAAAAAGCCUAGUUUUGCUACAUCAUUAAAAUGGAACUUUGCUACUUCAUCAGCAUGAUCUGUGCAAUAAACUCCGAAUCAGAUCUGGGACACAGCUUUUUGACCAACAACUUGUAAGUUCGCAAGUUAAGUUUUGGUUCAAAACCUCUAUACUGACCAUACAAGGAACAAACCAAAAACUGAAAAAAAAAUAUUGAGAAAGCCAAACAAGCCCACAAAAUUAGAAGAUGCGAAUUUUUAGAAAAAGGAAAAUUUUUUUUUAAAAAAAUGGUUCUUUGUUCCGUAUAAACAACUCAUACCACAUCAAAACAAAACAAACCAAGGGGACCAUCAAAACAUGCAAAUCUCUUUAUCCGAACCCAAAGAAAGCAAAGAAUUUCACAACUUUUGCACACCAAACAUCGGAACUCUGAAACUCACACACACUGACAAAAGGAAGCAAAAGAAAGGAUGAUUUUGUGCCGGGGUAAAAAAGAGAAUCUGAACUAUAUUUUUACCUGAUUGGCAAAUCCAAUACCAAAACCAAGGAGAAUACGCCCGACAAUCAACAUCCAAACCUUCCGAGCAAAACCAUUGAGCAAAGCUCCAGCGAAAAAUAGAACUCCCCCGAAAAGCAUUGACAACUUUCUCCCUAUUUUUCUGGUCAUAGGUGAAGCCACAGGCAGAGCAAAACAAAAACUGCUAGAAGCCUGAAAGAGCUGGGCUUCUUUGGAGCUGCAACCGUCAGCGUCAGGUGUCAGAGAUGGAUUUGGCUUCGCCUGUUCCACGGCGGACUGGUGGGGGGCGGAGGCACAACGAAAGAGAAAAGAGAGUGAGAGGGAGAUGUGCGGCGGCAGGGUUAUUAGGGUUCGAAAAAUUGGGGAAUGAAAUACACAGUGUACGACUUUUGGUGAUUUAUUGGUAUAGUUUUUAAUUAUUAAUUAAUUAAAACGGGUUCGAAUCUAAUACGGGCCGGAGUUCCAUAUCCGACCUGUUUUUCUGUUAGAUAAAAUAGGUCCGGGUCUCGGUUCUAUAUACCUACCCAUACCCGAAAAAUGUUGGCAGGUCCGAUCCAGGUCCGGGUCCGGACCGUUGACAGCCCUACUCAUAACUUAAGCUUCUUCCCCCCUUCUCUUUUCUAUCCAAAACUCCCAAACUGAGAUUCCGUUUGAUAAAACUGAAUCUGAAUUUUGAAGUUUAAAUUCUGAAAUCUGAAUAUUGAAACAAUUAAUUUGCGAAAUUUUAAAUACUAAAAAAAAUUUAUGAAUGUCUGAAUUUUAAUACUAAACCUAUUUAUACUGUUGGAUAAACAUUUAUAACUGAAUGCUUAAUAAGUUAAAUUUGAUAAUUUUGCCCUUGUAUCUUUUCAUCCAAAAAAGAAAUAGAACCUAUGAUUUAAUUAGCUAAAAAUGUUAGGUAUGAAAAUGACAAUAUUUAUUUUUAAAUCAAAUUAAUAUAAAAGAUGAAUUAUAUUAUAUGAGGAGUAUGGAGAAUAAGUGAAAGUCAUUCAAAAGGGAGAAAAGAGAAAUAGAAAAUCAUUAGGUAGAGAAUAUUCGGUUGUUUAAUUAUAUAAGAAUUUUGAACAUAAUUAAUAAACAAGGGUAGAUUUGGUAGAUAAAAUAAGGUAAUUAAAGUAAUUCUAUUUAUUCUUAUCAGAAUUAAGCAUUCAUACACACAAGUUCAACACUACUUAAUAAGUUCAGCAAAUGAAUUUUCAUUUAUCAAACACUCAAAACAUGAAUGUCUGAAAAAGUUCAGAUUCAACAUUUUUUUAUGUUAUCAAACAGACCUUAAGCCAUAAGGUCCCCAUAGAGCCGUCCGCUCCUUCUCCCCGUCCAUCACGUCAAUGCGCCCCUCAUCGCUCCGUUACCGACUCAAACAUUUACGUUCCUCCUCCUCACCUACAAAUCAAAGAUGAAACCAAGGCCCAAUUUAACCCACUCAACCACUUCCUCGGCUUUGCUAUCAAAAGCCCUAAGGCAGCGAAUUCAGUUUUUUUUGUUUCCCUUUUCAUACUGAAAGUGAGGCGCCAACAAACAAUGAACGAAAUGGCUUCAGCGGAUACUUAUUAUUGUUCCUAUAUAAUUUGACGGUCACUCUUUUGUUUGUCUAUUCCUGCAUCAUGCUUGAUUUUUUAUUUUUACUUAGAAAUAUUCCAACCUUUCGAUCAGAUUAAUCUUCUAAAUCUGCAUAAAAUUUUACCUCCAAAAUAUACAGUGAGAUAGUACAAAAAAGCCGAUCACGAGACUUACUGAUAAUUACCAUACUACGAAACUAGUCUGAUUAGCUACGAGGAGCACAUCAUGCUUGAUUGAUUCAGUAAAAAUGUUGACUGAAAGUUGGGGACAAUUGGUAAAUCAAAGUAAGGGACAUUUGCGUCACUGAUGCGUGCAAAGUACUGAUUCGACUUGGAUAGGAAUUAUUUGUCAAAAAAUUAUACGGUGAAUAGGAAUUAUUUAUUUGCAUCGUAAUCAUAUUUUUUAACACAAUUUUUUAUUUUUUUAAUAUUGAUACACUCUCUGGUAUCCACGCAUGUGGAUAAUAAUUUUUGAUGAUGUGGCAUCCACAUAAAUAUCAAACCCAAAAAACAAAAAAAAAAUCAUGGGUUUGAGGGUGUGAAAUUCAAGUCUACUCUCCCUCCUCCAUCACUCUCCCUCCUACAAUCCUCUUCCAUUAUUUCUCUCUAUCGCUUUGCUAUAAUAAACUCUUAACAAUUGGAGAAGCCACAUGAGAGAAUAUUCAAAUCAUUUCCGGAAAAAAUUUAAUUUGAUUUAAAUAUAUUUCAAUUUUCAACCGCUCAUUAAUUUCAACUCUAUCAUCCCAUCCCAUUCCCAUAUGAGCGAAGCAGUAAACCCAUCCUUAUGAAACUGAGCAACACUUAAAUUAUAGAACCGAUGAUUACGUUUGUUGUAGUAUCUUGAUAAAAAGGCUUUAUGGUCUUCAAAAUCCCCUCACUUUGAUAUUUUAUGACAACAACUGGUCAGGCUCAUGGCUGCUCUCUUUUAGGUAAAGCCAAUAGUGGCGGAGGUGUGAGAGGAGGGUUGUCAGAGUGGUUGAAAGAGAGUAGAGAAGAUAAUAACAGUACUGAUGUUGAUAGAGAUGUUGGGUAAAUUGGUCUUUAAACGCUGACACAUAGGAUCGGAUAAUCUUGCUCAACGCAGUCCGAAGAUAGAAUAUCAUUUCCCAUCAUUUCUUUAUUUUACAUAUAUCACAUCGCAAGUAAUUAUUUCAAUAACAUCCUAUCCAAUCAUUAUUACCCAUAGCAAAUUAUAUAUUCCGCUCACACCGUCUUCCUGACAAGCAUUUCUAGUACAAAUGACAAAUGAUAUUACACCUCCGUGCAGCACUGAUCCUCCGCAUGUCCACCCACUCUCAAGUAUCCUUAGCC
rnacentral:lncRNA from 1 species